rnacentral:rRNA from 1 species
UACGUAGGGUGCGAGCGUUUGUCCGGAAUUAUUGGGCGUAAAGGGCUCGUAGGCGGUCUGUCGCGUCGGGAGUGAAAACUCAGGGCUUAACCCUGAGCCUGCUUCCGAUACGGGCAGACUAGAGGUAUGCAGGGGGAGAACGGAAUUCCUGGUGUAGCGGUGAAAUGCGCAGAUAUCAGGAGGAACACCGGUGGCGAAGGCGGUUCUCUGGGCAUUACCUGACGCUGAGGAGCGAAAGUGUGGGGAGCGAACAGG